UUACGGCCACAUUACGUUGAAACACCGAUUCGUGUAUAAUCACUGAAGUUAAGCAACAUCGAGCUUGGUUAGUAGCUAGAUGGGUGACCACUUGGUAAUACCAGGUGUUGUAAG